AGCAAUCGAAGCAGUGAACUUAAGCCCCAGUAAACGGCGGCCGUAACUAUAACGGUCCUAAGGUAGCGAAAUUCCUUGUCGGGUAAGUUCCGACCCGCACGAAAGGCGUAACGAUUUGGGCACUGUCUCAACAACAGACUCGGUGAAAUUGUAAUUCCGGUGAAGAUGCCGGAUACCUGCGACAGGACGGAAAGACCCCAUGGAGCUUUACUGUAGCUUGACAUUGUGUCUUGGUACUACAUGUACAGGAUAGGUGGGAGGCUUUGAAACCAGGACGCCAGUUUUGGCGGAGCCAUCCUUGGGAUACCACCCUUGUAGUACUGGGACUCUAACCAUAGGCCAUGAAUCUGGUCUUGGGACACUGUCAGGUGGGCAGUUUGACUGGGGCGGUCGCCUCCCAAAAGG
rnacentral:rRNA from 1 species